AAUCAAGUAAGAAAGGGAAUCCUUUUAGCUACUUUAUGCUGACCACUACAAGGUGCCACAUAUUAGGUUUAGAAGGUUGUUGUGCAUUGUUAUAUUUCUAAGAAAAAUGAGGCAAAAUGUUGCAGUGAGAACAACAAGGCAUAUUGGAAGAGGUUUAAGGCUCAUAACCCUAAAUAGGUUUUUAAGAAGAGUUCUUACAUAUCAAAGUUAUCCUCAGAAUUCUGCUGCUCCAAAACAUGCCUUUAAUACAAAGGUGUUUUAAUUGUUCUAAACUAACUGAAUUUAUGAUUCUUAUGCUCUGUAUAUGCAUACCUCAACGGUAAAGAUUUUUGUCAAAUAUUGGGUGACUCUCUAAAGCUUCAAGGCAUUACUCAACGAACUCCAAAAAUACAGAUCAAAUCUGGCAUGAAAAGCUACAUUUCAUUUAUUCAUCUCUUGCUUCAUCAUUAAUUCACCGCCUGUAGGUGUAAUCGGCUUCUUUCAUGAAUAACUGCUUAAGCAAUAAAACAUGGUUCACAAGUUUCUCUCUGUGUUAGUGACGAAAAUAAAAGGCUUGUUUCUUACUUGGAAGUUAUGUUUUCACAUUCCAGAGACUAUAGGAUGGUUGUGGUAUGAUGUUCUUACAUGACUCUCGUAUUGGUACUUGAUUCUUGAUCCACUGCCGAGUAAUAAGAACUAUGCUCUUUUUAAGGCAUCAAUCUAUUGGUAAAAUUGCUGCCUAUAUACCGAAAAUGUGUGAGGAAACUGAUUAAUUCAUCAUGAUAUUGGAGAUUAAUAAGUAUAUAGAUUUUUAGUGGCAAUUUAAUAUGAUUUCUUGUCAGUAAGAUGUACAAGAAACCUGCAGCUUAUAUAAGUAAAGAUAAACAACAAUGGGAUUAAUUGAUAGAUUGCCUUAGCGAGUUUCCUGAAGUACUAAAGAUAAUAAAGAGCUACCUGAUCAUCUGUAAAUGUACCGCCAGUAUAUGUAACAGCAGUAUAAUACCGUAAGAGUCUCUCUAUAAUUGACACUCCCUUAAGUUAAUUUCUCCUUUCUCAACUAUAUGAAGUACUAAUUAGUGCACAAAUUAACCAAUUUUUAGUCAUUUUUUUAUUGCCAUUGCCAUUGCCCUUGAUCCUUCUAUUAAGUUGCAGCGAAAACUUCAAGCCAGUUCAUUCUUGCAUUUACAUUUAUAUUCAAAGUCUUUGUGGAUGCUUCUCUGCUAGAGGUCUUAACUAGCCACAAUUCGGAAGAGACCCGUACCAGUCCAACCUGAACGAAGCUAUUUUAAGGUUUAGAAGCUCCAAGCUUUGUUGUUCGCCUCUCUCCAAAAAGUGAUCUUGUUCUUGUGUCUCAAUGGUUUAUGGUGGUUGCUCACAGGGGUUCCCAAAUGUCGCUAACGACGAAUGUUAAAUAGGUAAUGGAGGAGAGCAGGUUCUUGAUACUUCAGGCGCUUAGGAAGUACUUGCUGUUGCUGCUGAUUUGGUGAACCCACACGUUCAUUCGUGGGACACCCUAUUAUUUUGUUCAUUUAUUAUUAGUUUUCGGGCUGCGUCCCGAUGAGUCAAACUAUUACCUCUUUAUCCUAGAAGCUCCAUAGUAUACAUUCUUGUGGGUAGUUGUUGAGUUUUGUUAACUCUUGGGCGUUGUCACGUUUUGAUUAACUUUUAUGAUAUUAAAGACUUUCGCU